rnacentral:lncRNA from 1 species
UCUCGAUAGGGUAUUCUGCAUAAGCAAUGUCCGAACGGUCAAGGAUUUACUGAUGCAAGAAGAUGUGAGCAAGAUUGUGGUGAUAUUUUUUGAGCAUGGAGACAUGAAAAAUAACAUGUAGGUUGAAUAAUUUAGGGGACAAGGCAAUAAAGUAUGCCACAGGGCCAACAUGCUCCAAAAUCUUAAAAGGUGCAACAAAAUAAGGACUCAACUUUUAUCUCUUCCCAUAUCACAUUUUUCCUUUAUAUGGAAAGACCUUAAGGAAAAUGUGGUCACCCGUAGUAAGUUUCGAAGCUCUCCUUCAAUUGUCAGCAUAACUCUUCUGGUAAGUUUGAGCAGUAAUGAGGUUCUUACGAAUGACGACAACUUUGUCAACAAUCUCCUAUAUGUAAUCCGUUCGUGGGAGACACUUGUUCUUAAUUUCAUUCCAACAUGUAUGGGAGCCUAUCAUAGAGAGCAUCAUAUGGAGCCAUAUUAAUGCUGAAGUGAUAACUAUUGCUAUAAGUAAACUAUGAAAAGGGGAGAUGCUUAUCCCAAUUGCCACAAAAAUCUAGCACACAGGCACUCAUUAUAUCC